rnacentral:rRNA from 1 species
CCUACGGUGGCAGCAGUGGGGAAUAUUGCACAAUGGGCGCAAGCCUGAUGCAGCCAUGCCGCGUGUGUGAAGAAGGCCUUCGGGUUGUAAAGCACUUUCAGCGGGGAGGAAGGCGGUGAGGUUAAUAACCUCAUCGAUUGACGUUACCCGCAGAAGAAGCACCGGCUAACUCCGUGCCAGCAGCCGCGGUAAUACAGAGGGUGCAAGCGUUAAUCGGAAUUACUGGGCGUAAAGCGCACGCAGGCGGUCUGUCAAGUCGGAUGUGAAAUCCCCGGGCUCAACCUGGGAACUGCAUUCGAAACUGGCAGGCUAGAGUCUUGUAGAGGGGGGUAGAAUUCCAGGUGUAGCGGUGAAAUGCGUAGAGAUCUGGAGGAAUACCGGUGGCGAAGGCGGCCCCCUGGACAAAGACUGACGCUCAGGUGCGAAAGCGUGGGGAGCAAACAGGAUUAGAUACCCCAGUAGUC